UACAACUGUGUAAACACCUGACAGGACAAACACUAACAAAAAGGGUGACAUAUAUAUAAGUGUAAACAUCUCAAGUACAAAAGAGGGGAAACAACGAGGGUAAAGGAAAACAGAUACCCAGAGAGGAAAGGCAGGUAUACAACUGUGUAGACAUCUGACAGGACAAACACUAACAAAAAAAGUGACAUAUAUAACAGUGUAAGCAUCUCAAGUACCAAAGAGGGGAAACAACGAGGGUAAAGGAAAACAGAUACCCAGACUCAGAUACAGAAAACAGAUGCCCAGUGGGCGUGGUCAGAAAGUGUGAACAACCAUUGAAAAAGACUCUGACCCGUGACGUCAGUCGUGGCGACAUGUUAUGAGCCAAUAAUUUAACAGAAAAAUCACUGAGGGAGUGUCUUAAGACUGACUCACGAAUAGCAGGAGAAGUAAAACAAUACAACAUAAUGAGCUAGCAGAUGGGUGUGACAGGAAGUAUUGGCCAUUGGUUAUGUAGAAAAUUAAGGGCGUGUCAAGGAUGUAAGUCCGCCUAAAGCAAAGAAAAAUGUGGCCUAGAGAUCAGUGGUAUGAGUAGACCGAGCUUGGUUCUCGCCUCAAGCAGACCUGCUACUCACUCAGCCGAGAAUGGCUGUUGUGAUCUUAAUCGUGAGUAGAAAUUCGAGAAUCUAAGGGAAACCGACUGUAUUGUCCUGGAGAUUAUAAUGUAGGAGAUGUGAAGUAGGAUUGUGAGUGGGACAGGAUUGUGAUUAUUUGUUUGCGAUGUAAAGCAAAGGUAAAACCACUGGGUGUGGUAAAAUUGGGUGUUUCCAUGACUUGUAGUAGAUUAUACUACAGGAAUGUGUUAUUAGGAUUUUGUGAAGAGAGUACAUAAUGAUUGUGAUGUAAGCAGAGAGAUACAAACCACUGCUUGUGGAACGACGAGUGUUAUUAUUAUUGGCAACAACUGAGCACAUAUUGUAGUAUUAUGUUUAAGACAUGUCGUUUGUCAUAUGUUGCAUCCAUUGCUGAAUAUGCCAGUGUUAUGAUCGUCUGAGCAUAGAAUAUUGCGUAAGGCAAUUACUUUCAUUUAAUUUUAAAUAAAUGUAUAUUUACUUU